rnacentral:misc_RNA from 1 species
AUGUCUCAACCACACCAUGAGGUGUGGCUUGGAUUUGGGGGUUACAGGCCUAGUCUGCUCCCCUGAAAUGCAUGAGUGGUAACGACCUCUCCAUUAAGAUGUGAUACAUAUCUGCAUCUGGUCGAGGGUUCUGCCGCUAUAUAAGAGUUGGAUUUGAUAA